rnacentral:rRNA from 1 species
CUCGUAGGUGGUUCGGUAAGUCGGGUGUGAAAACUCUGGGCUCAACUCAGAGACGCCACCUGAUACUGCCGUGACUUGAGUCUGGUAGGGGAGUGUGGAAUUUCCGGUGUAGCGGUGAAAUGCGCAGAUAUCGGAAGGAACACCAGUGGCGAAGGCGGCACUCUGGGCCAGUACUGACACUGAGGAGCGAAAGCGUGGGUAGCGAACA